GCCCUCUUAGCUCAGUGGUAGAGCGCGUCACUCGUAUGCUGAGUACAUGACGAGGUCAGUCGUUCAAGUCGGCUAGGGGGCA